rnacentral:rRNA from 1 species
AUGAACGCUAGCUACAGGCUUAACACAUGCAAGUCGAGGGGCAGCAUGGUCUUAGCUUGCUAAGACUGAUGGCGACCGGCGCACGGGUGAGUAACACGUAUCCAACCUGCCGUCUACUCUUGGACAGCCUUCUGAAAGGAAGAUUAAUACAAGAUGGCAUCAUGAGUCCACAUGUUCACAUGAUUAAAGGUAUUCCGGUAGACGAUGGGGAUGCGUUCCAUUAGAUAGUAGGCGGGGUAACGGCCCACCUAGUCUUCGAUGGAUAGGGGUUCUGAGAGGAAGGUCCCCCACAUUGGAACUGAGACACGGUCCAAACUCCUACGGGAGGCAGCAGUGAGGAAUAUUGGUCAAUGGGCGAGAGCCUGAACCAGCCAAGUAGCGUGAAGGAUGACUGCCCUAUGGGUUGUAAACUUCUUUUAUAAAGGAAUAAAGUCGGGUAUGCAUACCCGUUUGCAUGUACUUUAUGAAUAAGGAUCGGCUAACUCCGUGCCAGCAGCCGCGGUAAUACGGAGGAUCCGAGCGUUAUCCGGAUUUAUUGGGUUUAAAGGGAGCGUAGAUGGAUGUUUAAGUCAGUUGUGAAAGUUUGCGGCUCAACCGUAAAAUUGCAGUUGAUACUGGAUAUCUUGAGUGCAGUUGAGGCAGGCGGAAUUCGUGGUGUAGCGGUGAAAUGCUUAGAUAUCACGAGGAACUCCGAUUGCGAAGGCAGCCUGCUAAGCUGCAACUGACAUUGAGGCUCGAAAGUGUGGGUAUCAAACAGGAUUAGAUACCCUGGUAGUCCACACGGUAAACGAUGAAUACUCGCUGUUUGCGAUAUACGGCAAGCGGCCAAGCGAAAGCGUUAAGUAUUCCACCUGGGGAGUACGCCGGCAACGGUGAAACUCAAAGGAAUUGACGGGGGCCCGCACAAGCGGAGGAACAUGUGGUUUAAUUCGAUGAUACGCGAGGAACCUUACCCGGGCUUAAAUUGCAGAUGAAUUACGGUGAAAGCCGUAAGCCGCAAGGCAUCUGUGAAGGUGCUGCAUGGUUGUCGUCAGCUCGUGCCGUGAGGUGUCGGCUUAAGUGCCAUAACGAGCGCAACCCUUGUUGUCAGUUACUAACAGGUCAUGCUGAGGACUCUGACAAGACUGCCAUCGUAAGAUGUGAGGAAGGUGGGGAUGACGUCAAAUCAGCACGGCCCUUACGUCCGGGGCUACACACGUAAUACAAUGGCGGUCAACAGAGGGAAGCAAAACCGCGAGGCAGAGCAAACCCCUAAAAGCCGUCUCAGUUCGGAUUGCAGGCUGCAACUCGCCUGCAUGAAGUUGGAAUUGCUAGUAAUCGUGGAUCAGCAUGUCGCGGUGAAUACGUUCCCGGGCCUUGUACACACCGCCCGUCAAGCCAUGGGAGCCGGGGGUACCUGAAGUGCGUAACCGCGAGGAGCGCCCUAGGGUAAAACUGGUGACUGGGGCU